UUUCUGGGGGUUAAUGAAUAGCAGUGACACACAGAACCAGUCUGAGUUUUGAUGGGUCCCAAGAGGUGUUUUUCUCCAGGCCUCGCACUUGAACACUAGUGCCUGAAAGGGGCGACUACACUUCAUGUUACCGCCAGUAAUGCAUCGCAGCAUUAUGGAUGGGCCCACUGUCCACUGCCUCUCAGUGCAAAGGAGGUCAGCAUCUCGCAAACGAGUGCCACGCUGCCCUCUAAGGUGAUUACUGAUAAAGAAUGACAUGCUGAAGGGAGACGCAGGGGAAAUAUACGCCAGAGUCCAAUCACCUCUCCUGCCUCAAUACAUUCUCUCAUCGGAAGGCCUGUAUAAAUACAGCGAGAACGAAUACUCCCCUCUCCUUAUGAGACACUUCAUCUCCAGAAGAGGACAGAAGGUCGAGUCAUCAAAAAUGCAGGAGGCUUUUGGCGGAGUAUCCACAUGUUCUCUCUGAUAUUGUGAUGAGGUCUCAAAUAUUUUCAAACAUACUGCAUUUUCUCUGUAAGAUACUCCCUGUCAUAGUGAAAUGGCCUGUGACACGAACACUGUAAAAGACACAGAGAAAAUGGUCCAUGUGGGAACCCUGCGUUUGGCUUCUGUUUCCAUGAUGUCACACUGGGUAGCUCCGCCCAUAGUGAAUCCUCAUUGGUCCAAGAUCCUGCACCACAUAGAUCUACAGAUCUCGGUUUCAGAGAAAGGACAGAAAACAUGUUAACCUUUGUAUAUCUUCAAUGAAGCCCUAGCAUGCAAUUGUAAAAAUACUCCUAAUAAGAAGAUUAGAUCUUCAACUCAAAUCCAAGGAUGUGUUUUCGUACCCACACACAAAGAAGUAGACUGUCAGAGAAGGAGAGAAGAGAGUCCAUACUGUUUGAGCCUCUGUGUGUGCACACAUACACUUGAAAUAUUAGGUUGUUAGCAAGCACCAUUACGAAGUGAGAAAGGGAGGCGAACAGAGAGCCAUUCUUUCACGAGGAGGUGCCAUGUCCCAACCAUCACACUCCCGGCUCAUGAGGACUCCAAUGGCACCUGAGGGGGAAUCUCAUGGCUGUCAUCCCAGAAAGCCUCCUGCACUGAUGCAGGCCUGCCAUCUGCUCUCCAUAUGAGAUAAAAAUGAGGAAUUGUCUUCGAAAAGCCAUCUUUUUCUCUUCUUCAACUCACCAACUGAAAAAUCGUUGUUAUUGCUAAGAUAUUCUGGAAACAAAAACAGGAAGCCACACCAUAAGUAGCUGGUUGACUAACAAAGUGGGUAAUUACCUUAAAUGCUAACAGAGUUGUUGGGACAUUCCUGUUAUGC
ensembl:lncRNA